UAAUGAAGUCAAUAAAUAAUCACUUAUUUCAAAAAAAAUUAAGUUUUGCCAAUGGACAGAAUUUUUUAGUAGGAAAUUUGAAAACAUGAGACGCUCUUGAUACAAGUGUUUUUGAAAAUGCAAGUCAAUGGAUAAACUUCAGCUCUUCAUUCAGAAAGAAAGCCUGUGGAAUAGGUUCACCCCACAUAUCACAUUCUUCAGAGAAAAGCAGAUCUCAUUUGAUAGUCACUCUCCUGCAUGUUUCUGCUCUAUAUGUUGAACACAUAUACAGCACUUUGCAGACUGAUGCUUUGAAAGAACAAAGGAUUGGAGGCUGAAUACACCUGGGUAUGCUGCUUUUCUUCAAAGAACACAUUUGGAUAAGUGAUUUAAAAAAAUUAAAAGUAUCAAAAACAACAGCAACAACAGCAACACCCAUCAUGAUGCCAGAUUAAAGCCAGGAAAGAAUGCUGACCCAAAGUCUGGAGAGUUGGUUCCAUGUUCUAUGUAAAUGAGUUGCUGGGCCUUUGGAUGGUUCUGGAAGCAAUUAUCAACCCGCCACCCACCUGGAAGUUCUGCAGGUGUGUCAUACACACAGGCCCUGACAUUUUCAGCCAGGCUUCAACACUCAUCUUGGGCACUGUUUUAGAACAAUUGAUGAGCCCCUGUAGCAGCAGACUUCUAAGUAUUUCAUCAUGUGACUGACACUAUUCCAUCUCUAAAAUUCUAAAAGUAAAGAACCUGACUUGAACUAUUAAGGUAUUUAUUGAUCCAAGUUAGUGUGAAAAUGUAUGUUUAUACUGUGGAAAUUUUAUAAGUGUAAAUUCUGAGUAUGUGUUUGUGUUAUAUAAAUGUAUAUUUGUAUUUUGAAUAUGUAUAUGCAUAUACAUUAUCUAUCUAGUAUGUAUAUAUACAGGCAUAUUAUACUCGUUUUAUUUUACUUCACUUAUUGUGCCUCAUAGAUAUUACAUUUUAUAAAAAUUGAAGGCUUGUGGCAACCCUGUGUCUAGCAAGUUUUCCAACACCAUGUACUCACUUCAUAUCUUUGUGACACAUGUCUUUGUGUCACAGAUAAUUAAAUAUUAAAAUUUCUCACAAUAUUACUAACUUUUAAAUUAUUAUAUCUGUUAUGGUUGUCUGUGAUCACUGAUCUUUGAUGUUACUAUUGUAUUGUAAUAGUAAUUGUAAAAAUACAAUUACUGUUGUAAUUGUUUUGGGGCACCAUGAACCAUGCCCACAUAAGACAGAAAAUUUAGUCUAUAAAUAUGUGUGUUCUGAUUGCUCCAUCAACCGGCUAUUCC
rnacentral:lncRNA from 1 species